UGGAAGUAAAAGUCGUAACAAGGUCUCCGUUGGUGAACCAGCGGAGGGAUCAUUACAGAGUUACUACUCCAAAACCCAUUGUGAACCUUACCUAUGUUCUGUUGCCUCGGCGGCGUGGUCAGCGCCCCCUCUGAAAAGAGGACGAUGCCCUCCCGCCGGCAGCACCAAACUCUUGAAUUUUACAGCGGAUUACAGUUCUGAUUUGAAAAGAAAAAACAAGUUAAAACUUUCAACAACGGAUCUCUUGGUUCUGGCAUCGAUGAAGAACGCAGCGAAAUGCGAUAAGUAAUGUGAAUUGCAGAAUUCAGUGAAUCAUCGAAUCUUUGAACGCACAUUGCGCCCGGCAGUAAUCUGCCGGGCAUGCCUGUCCGAGCGUCAUUUCAACCCUCGAACCUCCGUUUCCUCAGGGAAGCUCAGGGUCGGUGUUGGGGCGCUACGGCGAGUCUUCGCGACCCUCCGUAGGCCCUGAAAUACAGUGGCGGUCCCGCCGCGGUUGCCUUCUGCGUAGUAAGUCUCUUUUGCAAGCUCGCAUUGGGUCCCGGCGGAGGCCUGCCGUCAAACCACCUAUAACUCCAGAUGGUUUGACCUCGGAUCAGGUAGGGUUACCCGCUGAACUUAAGCAUAUCAAUAA
rnacentral:misc_RNA from 1 species